rnacentral:rRNA from 1 species
UACGGGAGAAAGCNGGGGAUCUUCNGACCUUGCNCUNUUGGAUGAGCCUAANUCGGAUUANCUNGUUGGUGGGGUAAAGGCCUACCNNGGCGACNAUCCGUANCUGGUCUGANAGGAUGAUCAGCCNCNUCGGGACUGANACACGGCCCGAACUCCUACGGGAGGCAGCAGUGGGNAAUAUUGGACAAUGGGGGCAACCCUGAUCCAGCCAUGCCGCGUGUGUGAAGAAGGCUUUCGGGUUGUAAAGCACUUUCAGUAGGGAGGAAAACCUUAUGGUUAAUACCCAUGAGGCUUGACGUUACCUACAGAAGAAGCACCGGCUAACUCCGUGCCAGCAGCCGCGGUAAUACGGAGGGUGCAAGCGUUAAUCGGAAUUACCGGGCGUAAAGCGCGCGUAGGUGGUUUGGUAAGCGAGAUGUGAAAGCCCCGGGCUUAACCUGGGAACGGCAUUUCGAACUGUCAGACUAG